CCUGGCCUUGACAUACUAAGAACUUCCAGAGAUGGAUUGGUGCCUUCGGGAACUUAGAUACAGGUGCUGCAUGGCUGUCGUCAGCUCGUGUCGUGAGAUGUUGGGUUAAGUCCCGCAACGAGCGCAACCCUUUUCCUUAUUUGCCAGCGGGUUAAGCCGGGAACUUUAAGGAUACUGCCAGUGACAAACUGGAGGAAGGCGGGGACGACGUCAAGUCAUCAUGGCCCUUACGGCCAGGGCUACACACGUGCUACAAUGGUCGGUACAAAGGGUUGCUACCUCGCGAGAGGAUGCUAAUCUCAAAAAGCCGAUCGUAGUCCGGAUCGCAGUCUGCAACUCGACUGCGUGAAGUCGGAAUCGCUAGUAAUCGCGGAUCAGAAUGCCGCGGUGAAUACGUUCCCGGGCCUUGUACACACCGCCCGUCACACCAUGGGAGUUUGUUGCACCAGAAGUAGGUAGUCUAACCGCAAGGAGGACGCUUACCACGGUGUGGCCGAUGACUGGGGUGAAGUCGUAACAAGGUAAGCGUAGAUGA
rnacentral:rRNA from 1 species